AGAGUUUGAUCAUGGCUCAGGAUGAACGCUAGCGGCAGGCCUAACACAUGCAAGUCGAGGGAGAGGUUACCUUCGGGUAACCAAAACCGGCGCACGGGUGCGUAACGCGUAUACAAUCUGCCUUUCACAUAGGGAUAGCCCGAAGAAAUUUGGAUUAAUACCUAAUGGUAUAUAAGAGCGGCAUCGUUUUUAUAUUAAAGCUACGGUGGUGAAAGAUGAGUAUGCGUUCUAUUAGCUAGUUGGAGAGGUAACGGCUCCCCAAGGCGACGAUAGAUAGGGGUUCUGAGAGGGAUGUCCCCCACACUGGUACUGAGAUACGGACCAGACUCCUACGGGAGGCAGC
rnacentral:rRNA from 1 species